UUUCCAGCCGCCGCGGUAAUACGGGGGGGGCAAGCGUUGUUCGGAAUUACUGGGCGUAAAGGGCUCGUAGGUGGCCAACUAAGUCAGACGUGAAAUCCCCAGGCUCAACUUGGGAACUGCGUCUGAUACUGGAUGGCUUGAAUCCGGGAGAGGGAUGCAGAAUUCCAGGUGUAGCGGUGAAAUGCGUAGAUAUCUGGAGGAAUACCGGUGGCGAAGGCGGCAUCCUGGACCGGCAUUGACACUGAUGUGCGAAAGCCAGGGGAGCAAACGGGAUUAGAUACCCUCGUAGUCC
rnacentral:rRNA from 1 species